CAAUUGUCUUUUAAUUGAGGACUAGAAUGAAUGAAUUUAUGGUUAAAUUCUUUAUUUAUAUAUUUUAUUAAAAUUUAUUUAUUAGGUGAAAAUACCUAAAUUUAUUUUAUUAGACGAGAAGACCCCAGGAAUUUGAUCUUUUUUUUUAUUGGGGCGAUAUCUAAACAUCUUAAACUUUAGAUUUCAUAAUAAAACGAUUUUUUUAAUUUAAAAUAAAUUACCCUGGGGAUAACAGCAUAAUUUUUUAUAAAGAUUG
rnacentral:rRNA from 1 species